CGCCGGAGGGGAGGAAUGCGGCAGGCGGAAAACUUAGGAAGAGCUGGAUGCCUCCCACGGAGAGCGUCCCUUCCAAGCGGCCCCGGAGUGGAGUGGAGUGGAGUGGAUAGGGGUAGACUUUUCACACGGGGACAAAUUAUUACAGGAUAUCUGCGCCCCCUGUUCCGAGUCACUCGGGGCCAUCGGUUACUUCAGCAGGUUCUCUGCAUCACGGACCCUUUUGAGGCUCAGGAAUUUACCAUGGAAAUUAUUGGCCAUAAUUGUUGGUGACACUAUCAAACUCAUAGUCACUCUAUAACGAUGUAAGUCCAGAAAACAGCCAUAAUAAUAAUGUCCUGAUUGAUAUUUAGAGCUAAAAGAAGUGGAAAGAGUUAUUUCAAUUUACCCUUCACCUGGUACUUCAGUGUUAAGUGGUUAAAUAAUUCCACAAAAAAUAAACACUCUUAAUCUUCUUCAGUCUAUAUAAAUUCUUACUCUAUACUGUGAACCUAGGAAAGCUGUGGAUGGCCUCAAGAUCAGAUUGCCAGUUUAGCAAGUAAAAAACUACAAGGCUGGGCGCGGUGGCUCACACCUGUAAUCUCAGCACUUGGGAGGCCGAGGCGGGUGGAUCACGAGGUCAGGAGAUC
rnacentral:lncRNA from 10 species